UAGGGAAUCUUCGGCAAUGGACGAAAGUCUGACCGAGCAACGCCGCGUGAGUGAAGAAGGUUUUCGGAUCGUAAAACUCUGUUGUUAGAGAAGAACAAGGACGUUAGUAACUGAACGUCCCCUGACGGUAUCUAACCAGAAAGCCACGGCUAACUACGUGCCAGCAGCCGCGGUAAUACGUAGGUGGCAAGCGUUGUCCGGAUUUAUUGGGCGUAAAGCGAGCGCAGGCGGUUUCUUAAGUCUGAUGUGAAAGCCCCCGGCUCAACCGGGGAGGGUCAAUGGAAACUGGGAGACUUGAGUGCAGAAGAGGAGAGUGGAAUUCCCUGUGUAGCGGUGAAAUGCGUAGAUAUAUGGAGGAACACCAGUGGCGAAGGCGGCGCUCUGGUCUGUAACUGACGCUGAGGCUCGAAAGCGUGGGUAGCAAACAGG
rnacentral:rRNA from 1 species